GCGAACCUUAUAUAUAUUUCAUAAAAGCCCCUUUGUUCCAUUUUUCACUACUCUCUCUCUCUCUCUCUCUGUGUUUUUCUCGCUCAUGACGAUUUGGAGUGAAAUUCAAAAUUAGGGCACAGAACUCGACCUCCAUUUUUUUCUUCUUAGCGGAUAAGAUGUAAUCCAAGCGAGGAUUUUUUUCCGUUUCCCCAACCAAUUCGAACCAAACACUUCGUAAAUUUUCAAAAAUUUUUUUUUUUUCAAAAUUUUUCUAGGGUUUUUGUGUUUCUUGGGGGGGGGUUUGUGAACUGUGAAAUGAAGGACUCGCUGGAUCGGACCAAGGUGGUGCUCCGUCACUUGCCGCCGGCGAUUUCUCAGGCCGCUCUCACCGACCAAAUCGACUCCGCCUUCGCCGGUCGCUACCACUGGCUCACUUUCCGACCUGGCAAAGCAAGCCUGAAGCAUCAAUCCUAUUCUAGAGCCUACAUUGACUUCAAGAAACCUGAGGAUGUUAUUGAGUUCGCUGAGUUCUUCGAUGGGCAUUUGUUUGUUAAUGAGAAGGGCACUCAGUUUAAAACUAUUGUUGAGUAUGCUCCAUCUCAACGCGUUCCAAAGCAGUGGGUUAAAAAAGAUGGUCGUGAAGGAAGCAUAUUGAAAGAUCCCGAGUAUCUGGAAUUUCUUGAAUUUCUUGCGAAGCCUGUCGAAAAUCUUCCCAGUGCAGAGAUACAAUUGGAGAGAAGAGACGCAGAACGAGCUGGAUCUGCAAAGGAUGCUCCCAUUGUUACACCAUUAAUGGAAUUUAUACGUCAGAAAAGAGCUGCUAAGGGUGGUUCUCGGAGAUCAUUGUCUAAUGGGAAAUUGAGCAGAAGAGCUUCUGGAUCAUCAUCUGGAAGCCCUAGUUCAGCCUCAUCGAAACGAGGUUCUGAGAGGAGACGGAUUUCCACCAGGAUGUAUGUUUUAAGGGAUGCUGCAAAGAAUAUGAGUGUCAAAGACAAGUCAACCUACAUUCUGGUUCCAAAGCGAGAUGAUCAGCAGCUUUCUGACAAGUCUGUUACAUUGGUUCCUGCAGCUGGGAAUGAAUUAUUGGAAGAGGAAAAUGGAGUAUCCGGAACUAAUGAAUCUGGGAAAAAGAAAGUCCUGCUCCUGAAAGGAAAAGAGAGGGAGAUUUCUUCUGUGUCUGGCAGCAUAUUACAGCAGCAGGGUGUAUCAUCUCCUGUUAGAAAUAUAAUUGGUUCUGGUCCACUCAAGCAUAACCAGCAACGUGAAGGUAGUGGAAGGAUAAUCAGAAGCAUACUUAUAAACAAGGAUUCACGUCAAAGUCAGUCUUUUGUGGGCCAGUCAGAGCAGCAAAUCCAGACUUCAAAUUCAGAGAAGGACAAGCGGCCUCCUCGGAUCCCACAUGCACAAUUGGCUUCGAAGGACACAAAUUCAACUCCAGAAAAUAAGGUUGUUGCGAAUGACUUUCCUGGAUUUUAUAGUGAGAAGCAAGAAAAACGUUCAAGAAAUAAGGAUAAGCCUGAUCGUGGUGUAUGGGCUCCUCUUCGUCGUUCAGAUGGAACUCAUGCUAGUGAAGAGUCUUUGUCAUCCGGUACUUCACAGUUGCUGCUAGAUUCUUCAGAAGGAUCUCAUGGAGAUAUGAAAUUUGAAAUGGCAAAUGCUCGGAUUGGGGAAGUUAAAAACCUUGGAAGUGGACGUAGUAGCCAUUCUUCCUUAGAUAAUGGAUCCCAUAAACAUUUUGGUCGCCGUGGGCCAACGCAUGGUGUCAAGGAUGUUGAUGGCUCAUCAAAUGUAAGUGAGGGGAAGCAUUUGAGGAGAGGCACUGGCUUUAAUUCCCAUGAGAGGUUUUUUGCAAUGAAUUUGCAGAAACAAGUGUGGGUUCAGAAACCAAGUUCUGGUUCCUAAAGUUAUUGAAAGUGGUUCUUCCUGGAGCUUCAUAUUGUUUUGAUUUCAAUGACAAGACAGACAACUUCUUAGUAUCUUAAGAGGGGAAAACAGUGAAGAGGAGAAUCACCCUUGGAUGAAAAUUGCCAACGUUAUCACGCCCUUAGUAGAUUCACUGUCUCGUUUGUUUGCAGUUUUAAUGUCUGGUCAUAUACACGAUUUUGGAACAUGCAUUUGCUAGUGGCUGGAGAGGCUGUCUCUUUUUACUAGACAGAUUAUCAGGUGUAAAUGGAGUCUCAGCAUCAGCAAUGGUUCCUUUUGAAAAACCCUAGAGGAAAGUAGAGUUCGUCUGAAUGAUGCAGAUACCGAUGUAAGUAAUACUCGGUUGGCUGAAGAAAUCCUGAUUUUAUUUCGUCAAAGAUAGCUUGGAAUAGGAGACAUGGAAAGCAACAGAUGUCAUUGUUAUAAUUGUAUUAUUACACAGUUUUCAUCAGGGUGACCCUCUAUGGGGUUCUGCCUGUCGGAGGAGCUUUGGAAGCCCGCACUCAUGCUUUUGACUAGACUAGUUAUCGGGGUAUUCUGGUUUUAUGGGAUCUCUCCCGUUAGUAUAAAUGUAAAUAUAAUCUCAGAGCGAUCGGUAUCACCAUCUUGCUUAUCAAUAUCUAUCAAAGCAUUUUAAUGUGUUACAUACUUUUCUUCCAUUGCUGUUGCUGCCACUUUGUUUUGCAAAGCAAUUUAUAUGCAUAUGCAGCAAUAAGACAAAAAGGAGAAGUUUACAAGCAGCAUAAACAGCAAUAAUAUAGAGAACCUUGCGGAGAAUU